AGAAGAGAGAGCUUUGUUCUUUGCUGGCACAUAGGGACCCAGGAUCCUUUCGUUGUGUGGCUCAGGGGUUUCAUAAUCUUUGAUUAAAUGCAGGACAUCCUGUGCAGGACAAUAAUAUGAAGGAUUCCACAGCCAUCCAAAGCACUGCUUUGGCAGGAAUGCAUGAGGCCUUUUAUACAGCUGCCCAGCAUUGAUAACUGGCUGGUUGCUUGUCCACAUUGACUCACAUUGGAUCGAAAGGCCCUCAUUACCCUCACUGGUUUAAUGAUAUUCUCUGAUUAAACUUGGCCAG